CCUGAACAAAAAAUGAGGUGCCCCAUGCCAUGCCUUGAGGCUCUGUACAGCUCAGCCAAGAUGUCCCUUUGGAGCUGAAAAAAUUGCAGAAAUGACUGCCACAACCUGAACAGACGUGCCCAAAAUGCAGAUUCCAACACAAGAAAGGCCAUUUCUUGGGAAAUUUGGGACAGCUCUAGGUGGUGAUUCUGGCAAAGGUGUGUCAUGCAAAGAAGCAGAUCUCAGUGAUAAGGAUAAAACCAGGAUGAGAGAAAACUGACAGAAGAUGACCAGAAUAAAAAU